GACGUAGGGCGCGAGCGUUGUCCGGAUUUAUUGGGCGUAAAGAGCUCGUAGGCGGCUUGUCGCGUCGUCCGUGAAAACCUGGGGCUCAACCCCAGGCUUGCGGUCGAUACGGGCAGACUAGAGUUCGGCAGGGGAGACUGGAAUUCCUGGUGUAGCGGUGAAAUGCGCAGAUAUCAGGAGGAACACCGGUGGCGAAGGCGGGUCUCUGGGCCGAUACUGACGCUGAGGAGCGAAAGCGUGGGGAGCAAACAGG
rnacentral:rRNA from 1 species